rnacentral:rRNA from 1 species
UACGAAGGGGGCUAGCGUUGCUCGGAAUCACUGGGCGUAAAGGGUGCGUAGGCGGGUCUUUAAGUCAGGGGUGAAAUCCUGGAGCUCAACUCCAGAACUGCCUUUGAUACUGAAGAUCUUGAGUUCGGGAGAGGUGAGUGGAACUGCGAGUGUAGAGGUGAAAUUCGUAGAUAUUCGUAAGAACACCAGUGGCGAAGGCGGCUCACUGGCCCGAUACUGACGCUGAGGCACGAAAGCUAGGGGAGCAAACAGG